GGGGAUGUGGCUCUGUGGUAGAGUGCUUGCCUAGCAUCCUGAAGACCUUGGGUUCAAUUCCCAGCAACACUU
rnacentral:tRNA from 1 species